rnacentral:rRNA from 1 species
UACGUAGGUGACCAGCGUUGUCCGGAUUUACUGGGCGUAAAGAGCACGCAGGCGGUCGUUCAAGUCGAGUGUGAAAGCCCCCGGCUCAACUGGGGAGGGUCAUUCGAUACUGAUCGACUGGAAGGCAGGAGAGGGAAGCGGAAUUCCCGGUGUAGUGGUGAAAUGCGUAGAUAUCGGGAGGAACACCAGUGGCGAAGGCGGCUUCCUGGCCUGUUCUUGACGCUGAGGCGCGAAAGCUAGGGGAGCAAACGGG